rnacentral:rRNA from 1 species
AGUGAACGCUGGCGGUAGGCCUAACACAUGCAAGUCGAACGCAGCACAGUAAGAGCUUGCUCUUACGGGUGGCGAGUGGCGGACGGGUGAGGAAUACAUCGGAAUCUACUUUUUCGUGGGGGAUAACGUAGGGAAACUUACGCUAAUACCGCAUACGACCUACGGGUGAAAGCAGGGGAUCUUCGGACCUUGCGCGAUUGAAUGAGCCGAUGUCGGAUUAGCUAGUUGGCGGGGUAAAGGCCCACCAAGGCGACGAUCCGUAGCUGGUCUGAGAGGAUGAUCAGCCACACUGGAACUGAGACACGGUCCAGACUCCUACGGGAGGCAGUAGUGGGGAAUAUUGGACAAUGGGCGCAAGCCUGAUCCAGCCAUACCGCGUGGGUGAAGAAGGCCUUCGGGUUGUAAAGCCCUUUUGUUGGGAAAGAAAAGCAGCAGGUUAAUACCCCGCUGUUCUGACGGUACCCAAAGAAUAAGCACCGGCUAACUUCGUG